AAUUUAUAUUUGUGUUAAAAAAGAAUUUAUCAACUUUAUUUUCAAAAUUUUUAUCCGAAAGACGUAAUAAAUAAUACAUAAAAAAUGGCAGAUCCAGAAUUAGAAGCUAUUCGUAAACAACGUAUGGCUCAAUUACAAUCACAAUUUAAGGGCAAUGAACCUGGAAAUCAACAAGCCAAUGAAGAAAAAAGGCAACAAUUGGAAGAUAUGAAAAAUGUCAUUCUAUCGCAAGUACUCGAUCAAUCUGCAAGAGCUAGAUUAAAUACUCUUUCACUUGGUAAACCAGAAAAGGGAAGAAUGAUUGAAGAAAUGAUUGUAAACAUGGCAAAACGAGGACAACUUCCCGGUAAACUUGGUGAACAAGAAUUAAUUGGUCUUCUCGAAAGUGUUAGUGAACAAACGAAAAAAACAACAACUAUCAAGUUUGAUAGGCGCAGAGCUGCUUUGGAUUCAGACGACGAUUUGUAACAUAUUUCGCGAAAAGACUGACCAUAUUUUUAAUACUACGCUUCGUGUAAUUUCCAGAAUUUCACGGAAUAUGUCAAAUUUCUUUUGAUGUGCAUCUUUAACAACUAAUACACAAGUGGAGUGUUUGCAAGACGAAAAUGAACACUGACACUGACGCACCCCUGAAUAAUUCUCAUGCUUCUCCCGCGUCGAAUCAUCAGAUGAUUUUACACAAAAUUCUCCAUCAAUUUUAUAAGUAUUUUUUUUUUCUAACAACAAUUUUUUUUUUUAAAUAAACACAUUUAUUUCUUUAAAUAGAAUUGUUAAGCAAAUAUAUUAAUUGUAAACGAAUAUUAUGUGUGAUAUAAUAAUAAUAUCAGUUUUUAAUUUUUUUUUUUUUGUACUUUUAUUAAAAUAUUUAUAUAUAAUUAAUAUGUUAUUAUUUUUCAUAUGCUUCGAAUUGAAUAAUAAAUAAAUGUUAACAAACUGAGUAUUUUAUUACAUCGAAUGUCAUUAAAAUUAUUAAUAAAUAAAUUUUGCUGAUAAAAUAAAAUUAUAAAAAAAAAUAUUGAAAUUAAUUUUCAUUGUAUUAAUAAUAAAAUUCUAUUUUAUUAUAGAAAAAUUUUUGUAAUUCAGCGACAUCUUCACAUUUAUUUAUUCAAUUGUUUUUAUAAAUUAAAAAUGUGACAAAUAUUUGUCAAAAGAGAAACGUAUAAGUACAAAAAAAUUUUCUAUUCAAAAUUUUUAAGUUUAAAAUGUGUUAAUUAAUUAAAAAGUAUUAAUAAGAAAAUUUUUACAAAAUAUUCCAUAAAAAUAGAAAAAAAAAGAUUGAAAUGUUUAAAAAAUUUAGUGAUUCUUUUAACAAAGAAUUUUAUUUUCACAAUGUUUUGAAAGUUCAGGAUUAAUUUACAUCUGAUUUGAAGAAGAAAAUUGUCAAUUGAACGACUUGGAAAAUUUUUAGAGAAAAAAAAAAUUGAAAAACUAUUAUUAAAAUUAAAUUCAAAAAUGUACGUCACUCAAUUAGUGAUAUGCUUUCUUGUUAUUUUAUACUUUUUUCCUGCAAUAAUUGUAAAUUAUUUGUAUUUACUUUUAUCUCGUACUAUAUUUGAAUUUAUAAUUGCCAUAAUCGCAGAAUCAUCGCAACCAUUUUAUGAAAAUCUUUCACAAUACAUGCCAGAUGUAAUGUCUUAUCUGAAAAAUGGCACUACGCCAGAAUGGUUUCAAAAAUUAAAUAAUGUUCAAAAUUUAUAGAAUCAAUAUUAUAAAUGUAAACAAAAAAAUUCUAUUUUGUAAAUAUUGUAAAUUAAAUGGUAAUCGAGAAUGAGGAAUGUUAUACGAUAUUUUUUUUCUUUUUGCAAAGGACAUGAGAAAUAAAUAAUUUCAAUGAA